UACGUAGGGUGCAAGCGUUAAUCGGAAUUACUGGGCGUAAAGCGUGCGCAGGCGGUUUGGUAAGACAGAUGUGAAAUCCCCGAGCUCAACUUGGGAAUGGCGCUUGUUACUGGCAAGCUAGAGUGUGUCAGAGGGAGGUAGAAUUCCACGUGUAGCAGUGAAAUGCGUAGAGAUGUGGAGGAAUACCGAUGGCGAAGGCAGCCUCCUGGGAUAACACUGACGCUCAUGCACAAA
rnacentral:rRNA from 1 species